GCAAGUCGAGCGGGAUUAUAUGAAAAAAGCCUUCGGGUGGAUUUUGUAUAUGAGAGCGGCGAACGGGUGAGUACUACCUUGGUACCUGCCCCCAAGUCAGGGAUAGCCAUUGGAAACGAUGAUUAAUACCGGAUGUGCUGGAAACAGUAAAGAUUUAUCGCUUGGGGAGGGGCCUCGGUCCUAUCAGCUAGUUGGUAAGGUAAAAGCUUACCAAGGCAAUGACGGGUAGCUGGUCUGAGAGGACGAUC
rnacentral:rRNA from 1 species